UAAUAGCGUAUAUUAAAGUUGUUGCAGUUAAAAAGCUCGUAGUCGGAUGUCGGGCUCGGGCAGGCUGUCGGCUUCGGUCGGACGGCAGGCUCGGGUCUUUCUGCCUGAGGAUCCCGUUGCACUUAAUUGUGGGGCGUGGGGACGCAGGCCGUUUACUUUGAAAAAAUUAGAGUGUUCAAAGCAGGCCUACGCUUGAAUACAUUAGCAUGGAAUAAUGGAAUAGGACUUUGGUGCUAUUUUGUUGGUUUAUGGGACCGAAGUAAUGAUUAACAGGGACAGUUGGGGCCGUUUAUAUUUCGUUGUCAGAGGUGAAAUUCUUGGAUUCGCUCAAGACUAACUUAUGCGAAAGCAUUCACCAAGGAUGUCUUCUUUAAUCAAGAACGAAAGUUGGGGGAUCGAAGAUGAUUAGAUACCAU
rnacentral:rRNA from 1 species